rnacentral:rRNA from 1 species
UAAGACGAACCGUACGAACGUUAUUCGGAAUCACUGGGCUUAAAGGGUGCGUAGGCGGACCUGCAAGUUGGGUGUGAAAGCCCUCGGCUCAACCGAGGAAUUGCGCUCAAAACUGCAGGACUUGAGGGAGACAGAGGUGAGCGGAACUUAGGGUGGAGCGGUGAAAUGCGUUGAUAUCCUAGGGAACACCAGUGGCGAAAGCGGCUCACUGGGUCUCUUCUGACGCUGAGGCACGAAAGCCAGGGGAGCGAACGGGAUUAGAUACCCCGGUAGUCCUGGCUGUAAACGAUGAGCACUGGGUCGGAGGGUCCUCCAUAGCCUUCCGGUCGUAGCGAAAGUGUUAAGUGCUCCGCCUGGGGAGUAUGGUCGCAAGGCUG